ensembl:rRNA 5S_rRNA 5S ribosomal RNA
GUAUAUGACCAUACUACCCUGAACACACCCGAUCUGGUCUGAUCUCUGAAGCUAAGUAGGGGCAGGUCUGGUUAGUACUUGGAUGGGAAAAUGGAUUAAAAAAAAAAAAAUUAGACCCACCUAUAUG